rnacentral:lncRNA from 1 species
GCCUCCUUACAGAGGGCAUGUGUGUGUGUGGGCCUCCUUACAGAGGUGGUGGGUAUGUGGGGGCUGGGGGGCUCCUUACAGAGGUGGUGGGUAUGUGGGGGGAGAGGGCCUCCUUACAGAGGUGGAGGGCAUGUGUGUGUGUGUCUUCUUACAGAGGUGGAGGGCAUGUGUGUGUGUGUCUUCUUACAGAGGUGGUGGGCAUGUGUGUGUGAGGGGCUCCUUACAGAGGUGGUGGGUAUGUGGGGGAAGAGAGCCUCCUUAGAGAGGUGGAGGGCAUGUGUGUGUGUGUGGCUCCUUACAGAGAUGGUGGGCAUGAGGGGCUCCUUACAGAGGUGGUGGGUAUG